UAAACUUUAGUGAUUACAAAUUGCUUUUAACGCGCCAGUUAACCCUAGCGAUGGCGGCGAGUAUAAAACCAGAGGGAGAUGGUUGAGGAAGAAAGCAAGAGCCCUAGGCCGAGCGCUUUACCACUUAAGGCAGUGGUGGCGUGGUAUUCCACGAGAAAAGGUUUUCAAUUUGUGGCGCACGUUAGUGUGAUGGGCUCACAGUAAUCAGCUCAAGGUCAGCCAAUGGCGCGCCGGCGGCGAGGAGGCUCCCCUGGUCGCUCCGCUGCACUAGUCUUUUGCUGCCGGAGCGGCCGGACUUUGCCCCCACAUUCUUUUGAAUCCAAUCCCCUGUUUCCAGUCUUUGCUCUUGUUCAUCGAUUUAGUCGUAAAGAUUCAUUCUUUGCCUUGUUAAUGAAUAGAUUUUCGUUUCAAAUUGUCAAGCUUUUUUUCUGAUUCUAGCUUGGACACCUGAAAAUGUCUGAACCAUCAUUUCAGUUUUAUGUUUUAUUAUAGGCUCUUGGUGAGUUUGCUGUGAUCUGCAGAUUGUUCAUGGAAAUGAAAGAACAAACAGUUACUGGAUUCUGGUGAUCCUAACAAGGUGAAGAAACCAGCUUUGUUGAUUUGUUUGUUGAUUAUGGUGAUCUUGAAUUGAACUCCUGCUCAAGUAUGGAACUGAAGUUCAUGGCAAAAGCAGUCACAUUUGCUAUGGCGAAGCUUAAUGGUAAUGAACUUUGGAACUAUGAGCUCUUGAAAGAAGAGGGUUAACACUUACAUUUAUCGUGGAAGCAAAAUUCUGAUCCUUUGUCUGGAUUGUGCAGAAACCAGGAUCAUGGAAUCGAAGAAAUUAAGCUCAGAGAUGGACAAUGCUCGAACUACAAUUGAUUUCUAGCUCAUGAACAUUAGUUUUAACCAGUUAUAGUUCAUUCCUCUGCAUCUUUUAACUGUCUAGUGAAUGCAGAGCUUUAAACCUAUGGCUGGUCUCCUCAUUGCUGAUUGCUGAUGCUUAGUUUAACAAUGGAUAUGGAUUGAUUAUAGCUGAACUGGUUUAAAAAGCUGUGACUCGAAUUCCCAAAUUUUGAUGUUUACAGCUUUAGUUUGAUGUGUACACUUUCAUGGCGUUGGUAAAGCUUCAUUAAGGUGAUGGUUGAUGGCUUUAUGCGUUUGGUGUAGCAGUGUCUGUAGAUUGUGCCUACAGCUUAGUCGCCAUUUCUGUAUUACUAAAGCUUGAUAGCCAUAACAAGCUCGGCUCCGUGACUAUAACAAAUAGUUAAGCUCGGCUUGUGAGUAGCUCUCGAGAUGUUAACAAAUGGAAAAGGUCCUAUCAAUCAACUCCUGAAAAAGAACAGUCUAGCUCAUAAUCGAGGUUCAUGAAACUAAACUAUUGAGCUUGUAAUUGAGCCCUUAUUGAACCAACUCGCGAGUCCAUAGCCUUCGUGAGCUCACAGCCGAGCCGGUGUU
rnacentral:lncRNA from 1 species